UGCAAAUGGGAAGCUCCCCGCCGUGAUCGCCCGGGCGCCUGUGGUGGAGGCAGCAGUGGCCUAGUCCAGACUCGCGCGGACCCCAUCGGCUACUUCUGCGAAGUGCAGGAAGGUUCUCCAGGGACUGGGACCAGAAGGGGCUGAGCGCGCGGUUAAUGUGUAAGGCUGCUGAAUGACACUCGUUAACUCAGCAGCAGCGUGUGAUGGACCGGGCCUUGAAUUCCUCUGUUUCCUCAUUUUAUAAACGAGGAUAACAAUACCCAUCUUUACUACGUUGAAGAAUUGUACCGCUAAAAGGAAAUAAUAUAUGCAAAGGUGCUUUUUAAAGUAUAAAGCUCACUAGACUUUAAAAUAUCUUUAUUAUAAGAGAAGGCAGUCGAGCAAGAGCAGUUAAGAGCAUGGACUUUGGAGUCAGGGAAACCUAGGUUCAAGUCUGAUCCUGGAUGUUGGACAGUCAAUUCUGCUUGACGCUUGGGCGAACUGGAGGUCCACUGGGGUGUGGGGAUUUGGAGAGAGUGACUGGAAAGGACGUAAUUCCAGCCAAAGGAAGCUUCAUGAGUAAAGGUAUGGAAGUGAAAAUAGGAAGAACAAAACUUGAGGCAGAGAGAUCAGUUAUGAGGCCAUUGCUGUACCCCAGUGGUGACAGUGGACAACCUUGUCUUGUUCCUGAUCUCAGCGGAAAUGGCUUCAGUUUUUCACCAUUGAGAAUGAUGUUGGCUGUGGGUUUGUGAUAUAUGGCCUUUAUUAUGUUGAGGUAUGUGGGGAGUUUCUUGCCUUUUGGGAAGUCUGAGGUCUUCUGCCGGCAUUCAGUAGGUGUUCUGUAGGAGUUGUUCCAAAUGUAGAUGUAUUUCUGAUGUAUUUGUGGAGAGGAAGGUGAUGUGAAUUACAUAACUGGCUGUUUUCUCCUUUCACUCUGGCUGCCAAGAAGCUGUGAGAAAUCUGUGGCUCAGCCUUAGGAACUGGGAGGACCCUUGGCCUGCAUAUCUGCAUUCUGUUGGUUUGAAAUUCUUCAAAAUAAAAACCUGAGGGAAAACAGUCUAAAUUCUUCUUUAUUUUCUAAAUUAUUGAUAUUGUGCAUUUAUUUUAUAAUUAGAAAAAGUAAACUUUGCUUUUAAAAGAAAGGUUGCAGCUUUGCAUGAUUUCUCAGGCUUUGAAUCUGUGGACAAGGACUAGUUUCAGGUUGAGCUCCAUGAGUUCAGUAUAGAAUCAUAUAAAACCAGGACUUCUGUGACCUUGAAAGUCCAGAUCAAUAGAAUUGGUGUUCAGACAGAUCAGAAAGUAUUUCAAGUAGCAUAAAACAGGCAAGUUGUGGCCCUCCUUAUUUUUAAACUAAAUAAUUUGAAACCACUUUUGUAUUAUUUGAACAUAUGCUGUCUUGCUUUGGAGAUAAGAAAGUCAAUCUUCCUUAAUGCUGAUGAUAUUUUAUUAUAAUUAACUUUAACGUACGGUUGAUUUUGUGGUUUAGCAUUUGUCAGAAGUGGGUGAAGAUCACCUGUUCUAAAACUAAAAUAAUUAUUUUGGUACAUGUCCUGAAAUUUAACUGGUUUAGAUCCAGUAACUCAGUAUCAGAUUCAUUUCUUUACUUAAGGGUAUGUUUUGCAAGGAACUCUUCCAGGUAGAUUUACUGAGCAGUCACUUUGCUAAAAGCCACACAUUUCAUGGGAGCUUUAUUCAGAUUUUUCUCAGCGAGAGUCAGCAACUGAUAAUUUCUUCUUUGAAAAUUUUUCCAUCCAAAUGUUCAUCCUCCAACAGGACAUUCAGUUGCCUAAAGGGUGGGCAAAUGCCCCACGCCCAGCCAGCAGAUUGUUGCCAAGUGGUGUGCGAGCAUCUGGGCUUGCCAGAUUUGAAAUCUGUUCAUCUCUUAACAUUGGUAACUAAUGUGAACUUUGUUUAAAAAAAAACAUGACUUGUCUGUGAGUUUGCAGACCCUCUUCUCUAUUGAAUAGAACUUUACAAACUUGAAUACUUCGUUCUUAUUUUGAAGAAUUGGUUUUCUUAAGGAAAAACCUGCACUGCCUGCAGCCUCCCUCUGUCCACCCCCAUGAAGAGAGAAAUGUUCCUAUUUAGGUGAGAAUCUCAAUGGGAUGACUCACUCUUCACAAAAGGCUGUCAACCACCCACCAUCUGCUGAUGAGAUUACUGAGUUCUGAACAAUAUGUAUCUGCUUUUAGUCAGCCAGGGUAUUAGCUGGUCCAUCAGAAAACUGCAUCCCUGACCACAUUGUCCUGAGCUCGUCCACACAGAAACAUUUCUCACCCUCUACCAGGAGUGUUUUACUGACUUGUCUUUUGAAUAUUGUGGCUUCUACAUACAUUAAGGGAUUCUAGAAGAGACAAUUCCACAGAGCCCACUAGUGCAUUUGCUGUAGAGCUAUUGUGCACUUGGUCAUUUUAUGUUUCUUAUGGAAAAUCCCAUGAGAGAAUUUUCUUUUAGAGCCAAGUGUCAGGAAAUGCUUGACUACCUUUGAGUAAGUGAUGUGUCUUCCUUACAGACAAAUAAUGUAACCAGUUUAUGUGUUUCCCUUUUCACUUUCAUCGUCAUGAAGCUCCAAGUCAAGUUUUAGCUCAGCUUUAGUGCUUACAUAGGAACUGUGGCCUGUGAAUCUGCGUUCUUAUUCCCUGGUCCUGAUCUAUCUAUCUGUCUGUCUAUCUAUCAUCUAUCUAUGUAUUUAUUAUUUUUUCACUAUUGUACUUUUUAAACUUUUUAUUUUAUAUUGGAGUACAGUUGAUUAACAAUAUUUUUGCAGUUUCAGGUGUACAGCAAAGUGAUUCAGUUAUAUAUACACGUAUCUAUUCUUUUUCAAAUUCUUUUCCCAUUUAGGUUGUUACAUAAUAUUGGGCAGAGUUCCCUGUGCUAUACAGUAAGUAGGUCCUUGUUGCUGACCUUCUAUUUAAAUUUAGGUUUUCUCUUGCUCAGAUUUAUUUAUAAUUUUCUACAUUAUGUGUAUUGUUGCACUAGCCACCUCAGGUUGAUCAUGGAAAAGCUAGGGAAAUAAGUGAUAAUUAUGCUAAUGAUGACUACCUUACAGUCCCUUACCCUUACUUCAGGCAAGAGUUAAAACUUAUUGAUCCUUCCAUGCUGAUAAGAAUGUUUUGUUUACAAGUUCUCUAGGGUUUUACAUCAACUAAACCAACAGAAUAAUGAAUUAUUUUCAAAGAAGUUUUAAUAUUAUUGCAAAUCUAAAGAAUGUCACUUUUAACUUUGCUUUUGCUCUUCUGAGGAAAGUAGAUAGGUAAAGUAACGGCUGGCAAGCGUAAGUGCGAAACGUCACGUCCCAAAUUCUCCAAACACUAUUCUCACAGCCUCUCUUAGUAUAUUCUUCCAGUAGGCCACAGUAUGAAGAGUUAGCUUUCCUAUAUCUAAUCUAUGAUUAUUUUUGUUUUAAACCCUUUUAUACCUCAUGUAUUAGUGAUCUGAUUUGUAUACACUGGUGAUAUUUGCACAUAUACACUUUAACUGAAGUUACAUGGAAAGAUCUUAAGCAAGAUUCAUUGUCUUAAUGCACCUUUUAUAUUUGCUAAAUCAAAGGUAGAAAGAUAACUGAGUUCCCCCAUAGCUAUUAGGUAUUGCUCUUAGACACUAUAUGUCUAUGAUUUAAUAUUUUAAUCCUGUAUCUUGAGAAUAGGACAAUAAAGCUGCUUUGUAAGUGUAAAGAUUUAAAAUGUUUGUCCAGAAAACACUUUUUGUAAUCCUGUUUUGGCAUUUCUUCUUUUCUUAAUAUACCAGGAACCUCAAAAAUGGAAGUAGUGCAGGCCUAUUUCCUAUUUCAGUUUUUAUUUACUGGGCUACUCUGUGUCAGGCACAAAGGGGAUACAGAGAUUGAAGAUACAGUUCUUGCUCUCAAGGACUAACAGUCUAGAACUGUGCUGUCUAACAUGGGAGCCUCUAGCCAUGUGUGGCUAUUCAAAUAAAUUAAAAAUUCAGUUCCUCAGUCAUACUAGUCACACUUCAAGAGCUCAGUAUCCACGUGUGGCUAGUGUAUUGGAGUAUACAUAGAGAGUACCUUUCUAUCAAUGCAGAAAGUUCUGUUGGAUAAUGCUGGUCUAGAAAUCACGUGGGAGUCACAAGGUAGAGCAAGGUGAUUUCAGACUAAGAAAGAUCAUGUGUGAAGUGAGCGUAAGAAUGACUUGGGGGCACGUUGAGUCCUGCCAGAGAUUCUGAUUUGAGGAAUACUGAGGGAGUCUGUUUUUAACAAAUACCCCCAGGUGAUUGCGAUGCAGAGGGUGUAUAAACUACAUUGAGAAAAAACAAUGUAGGGUAAGUGGGAAUAACUCAAUAGAGUGAUUCUAAACUUUCUACCUAAAUAGCAUCUGGGUGCUUGAGCCAAUUUAAGUUUGAUUUAGAGAGACAAGAGUCGUGGGACUACAUUUGUACCUUAAGAGUUAUGGAGCAUUUUAUACCCAUUAUGUGUCUGAAGACUUAUAUUAUUAUAAGAGCCUUUAAUUUGUCAUGUAUACUUUAAAUACCUGAAAAAAGGUAUGCGAUAGUUUCAGUCAAGAUAGGCUAGGCUAUGCAACAGUAAAAAAAAAAUAACCCCAAAAUAUCAGUGGCUUUUUCCAGAAGGAAAAGAGAAAACUCUGGAAGCCUCACACUAACAAAUUCUUCAGCUCAAAAGGGACAGACACCAUUUCUACUCACAAUUCAUGCCAGCAUUAGUCACAGAACCAAUCUUAAGGAAGUCUGGAAAUGCAUCCUACUAUGUGACCAGAAGAGAGGAGAACCAGAUAUCAGUGUGUAGCACUAAUGAUUACCCCUGUGAUGGUAAAGGAAACGUGGUGAUCAAGCUGCAAGAGAGAUGAGACCUCCAGAAACACACAGCAGGGUGGUGAAUGGCAAAGACAUAAAGGACUAGAAUGAACUUUCAGAAAAAUUCUUGGCUUGGAGAAAGAAGCCAAGAUACAAUGACCAAGAACAGAAUGCUGAGUUAGUGUUUUCUGAAUAAACAUCCUUGAUUACCUCUCUCUUCUAGAGAGCCUUGAUCCUGAACGGGAUCUUAUCUGAUGCUUCCGGUUCUUUCUUGAGAAGCUAAUGUAGAGCAUUAUGAUAGAGGCACAGGGACACAUCUGUGUGCUAAUAUGACUACGCCAGAGAAGGACUAGGAAGCCAGCAGCCUUGGAGGAGUCCUGCGUCUUUCUGAACCUGGGGUGAAGAAUGUUCAGUCCAGUGGCUGCCUGAAAGGCCCGUUCUAUACCUCAAUAAAGGCAGCUCUUGGAGAAGCCAUUUAUUCCACUGACACCAGGAGUUGCCUGUUCUGCAACUGCAUCAUUAGCUGUAGCUGAGAUAAUCAGUGGACAUGCAGUGUGAGGGAGAAAUAAACCUUUCUUGUAAGCCACUGAGAUUUGGGGGAUCAUUUGUUACUGCAGUAUAACCUCACCCACACUAACUGAUACUAUGCUUAUUCUUUUAGUAUCUAUGCAGAUGAAGCCACUGAGAUUCAUCAGGCAGGCAAUGAUGAAUUAAAAAUGAGAGAUAAGAGAGAAUAUCUGUUCAAAAAUACUAUUGGGUGGGCCAAAGGUUCGGUUUUUUCCAUAAGAUGGCUCUAGUAGCACUUAGUUGUCUUUAACUUCAUUCAAAACAAUUUUGUUUGUAUGUGACAGCUGUCAUAUCAGCAUGCAUUUAAAAAAAGACAUCAAAAUUGGUGAAUUUUGGUGUAGCCAUUUUAAUAUUGAAUAUGGAAGAAGAAAGCAACAAUUUUGGUAUAUUAUGCUUUAUUAUUUCAAGAAAGGUAAAAACGCAACUGAAACACACAAAAAAGAUUUGUGCAGUGUAUGGAGAAGAUGCCGUGAUGGAUCGAAGGUGUCAAAAGUGGUUUGUGAAGUUUCGUGCUGGAGAUUCUCGCUGGACGAUGCUCCACAGUUGGGUAGACCCGUUGAAGUUUAUAGCAAUCAAAUUGAAACAAUAAUUGAGAACAAUCAACGUUAUACCACACGGGAGAGAGCGGACAUACUCAAAAUAUCCAAACCAAGCAUUGAAAAUCAUUUGCACCAGCUUGGUUAUGUGAAUUGCUUUGAUGUUUGGGUUCCACAUAGGUUAAGCCAAAAAAAACCCUCUUGACCACAUUUCCACAUGUGAUUCUCUACUGAAACAUAAUGAAAACGUUCUGUUUUUAAAACAAAUUGUGAUGGGCAAUGAAAAGUGGAUACUGUACAACAGUGUGGAAUGGAAGAGAUCAUGGGGCAAGUGAAAUGAACCACCACCAACCACACCAAAGGCCAGUCUUCAUCCAAAGAAGGUGAUGUCGUGUAUAUAGUGAGAUUGGAAGGGAGUCCUCUAUUAUGAGCUCCUUCCAGAAAACCAAAUGAUUAAUUCCAACAAGUACUGCUCCCAAUUAGACCAACUGAAAGUGGCACUCGACAAAAAGCGUGCAGAAUUAGUCAGCAGAAAACGCAUAAUCUUCCAUCAGGAUAACGCAAGCCCACAUAUUUCUUUGAUGACCAGGCAAAAACUGUUACAGCUUGGCUGGGAAGUUCUGAUUCAUCCACCGUAUUCACCAGACAUUGCACCUUCGGAUUUCCAUUUAUUUCGGUCUUUACAAAAUUCUCUUAAUGGAAAAAAUUUCAAUUCCCUGGAAGACUGUAAAAGGCAGCUGGGACAGUUCUUUGCUCAAAAAGAUUAAAAGUUUUGGGAAGAUGGAAUUAUGAAGUUGCCUGAAAAAUGGCAGAAGGUAGUGGAACAAAAGGGUGGAUAUGUUGUUCAAUAAAGUUCUUGGUGAAAAUGAAAAACGUGUCUUUUAUUUUUACUUAAAAACCGAAGGGACACAUUAUAUACCCAAAAUCAAUUAUCAUGAUUAGUACUAUACUCCCAAUAGGUAUCAUAUGGGUUCAGCAACUAUGGUGGAAAAUAUAAGCAGCCCCUCUUACCACCAUUGCUCCAGUUAUCUUCUUGGAGAAUUUGUGCUUCCUAUCCCCACAACUCCAGGUUCUGCUUGUCUAGAGGUCCUUCUAAAAAGUGAGACACUUUCACCAGGGCACACAAUAUGAGUCCCAUUAAUUCUUUUACUGUGGUAAAAUAUACAAAACGAAGUUUACCAUUUUAACCAUUUUUAAGUAUACAACUCAAUGGCAUUAAGUACAUUUACAUUGUUGUGAAACCAUCACCAUCAUCCAUCUCCAGAACUUUUUCAUCUUCCCCAUCUGAAACUCUGUACCUAUUCAACAAUCACUCCCCAUUUCCUUUUCCCUCCAAUCCUUGGAAACCACCACUCUUUCAGUCUCUAUGAAUUUGACUAUUCUAGGUAUCUCAUAUAAAUGGAAUCACACAGUAUUUAUCUUUUUGUGUUUGAUUUAUUUCAGUUAGCCCAGCGUCUUCAAGGUUCAUCUAUGUUGUAGCAUGUUUCAGGAUUUCAUUCCUUUUUAAGGCUGAAUAACAUUCCAUCGUAUGUGUAUAUCACAUUUUAUUUAUCCACUCAUCCAUCAAUGGACA